UGUUCAGUUACUGAGAUGAGCAAGCUGUGCAGCUGUGCCCAUCCUAACUGGUUCCCAGUGAUUUGCAUGCACUCACUGCACAGCCUUGAGGACUUCUUCAUAUACCAGUCACACCCUGUACAGUUGUCACUGCAGUCAGGACUCAGCAUGGACAUGAGGGCCCCUGCUCAGCUCCUUGGGCUCCUGGUGUUCUGGCUUCCAGGUGCCAGAUGUGACAUCCAGAUGACCCAGUCUCCAUCCUCCUUGUCUGCAUCUCUUGGUGACAGAGUCACCAUCACUUGCCGGGCCAGUCAGGGCAUUAGCAGUUAUUUAAUCUGGUUACAGCAGAAACCAGGGAGAGCUCCUAAGCGCCUGAUCUACCGUGCAUCCAACUUGGCAGAUGGGGUCCCAUCGAGGUUCAGUGGCAGUGGGUCUGGGACAGAUUAUUCUCUCAGCAUCAGCAACCUGGAGUCUGAAGACUUUGCAACUUAUUACUGUCUACAGGAUGCUCAGUAUCCUCCCACAGUGAUACAAGUCAUAACAUAAACCUCAGUGGAAGCA